rnacentral:rRNA from 1 species
AUGAUUCUUCCAAAGAAGAAUUUGAUAUUGAAGAGGAGGAGGAUCUUGCAAUGAUCCUAGACCACCCGACAUAAGGCAUGGCAUGGGCAAUUCCACAACAAAAAGGGUUCCACUAUAAUCCUUGCAGCGGUGGCCGAUCAAGAGACUUAGAUUUGGCAUUUUUUUGGAAUGCCUAGAUCUUUGAAUGACAUGAACGUUGUUAAUCAGUCAAUGCUGAUGAAUAAGAUUGCAAAUGGUGAACUGCCACCGGUGCAGUCUGUAGCAAAUGGACAUACAUACAAGUAUGACUACUAUCUUGCGGAUGACAUCUACCCAAAGUGGCGAACAUUUGUGAAGCCGUUGAAAAAACCAGAAGGUAAGAAAAAUCUUGAUUUCCAUAAUGCUCAGGCGACGAGCUGCACCUGCACGAGCACUGAACCACAACACGCCCGCCUUCGAGCUGCACGUCCACAGUCGCUACUACUACAAAAAGGGCUAUAG